rfam:Triticum aestivum genome assembly, contig: Triticum_aestivum_CS42_TGACv1_scaffold_060352_1BS
GGAUGUGAUCAUACCAGCACUAAAGCACCGGAUCCCAUCAGAACUCCGAAGUUAAGCGUGCUUGGGCUAGAGUAGAACUAGGAUGUGUGACCUCCAGGGAAGUCCUCGUGUUGCAUUCC